AGAUCUACCAUUCUGAAAUUAUGUAGUUCUCUCUCAAAUCUUCACUCUUAGCUUUAGAAAAUGAAAAUGAAAGUUUUCAACCCCGAAAAUCUCUUCAACAACUCUCCUACAGGUCUGAGCUUCUAAAUUUGAAUUUCAAAUAAAUAAAUAAAAAAAGAAAUCUGAGUUCUUAUAGCUGAAACCUUCUUUUAGAUCUUAGCCUUCUUCAAAAGAAAAAACCAAUAACAAUAUAAAACUUCAGAAAACCAUAAAAUACUGUUCCAUGAGGAUUUCAUUGUUAUUUUAAGCUUCUGGAGUGUUUGGCUUUCAAUUUCUUAGUUCAGAAUGAUUUCAAGUGAAGUAUAUACUAUUUCUUAGCUGAAUUUUAGUUUUGAUAGCCGAUUUACAUUUCUGAGGUUCAUUUCUGGAAAUUUGAGGAUUCAGAGAGAUUUUGGAUUCUAAUUAGAUUAGUUUUGGAUAGGUUCAAGUUAUUUUGAGUUACUUCGAGUUGGAAUUGUUUGAUUGAGUCAAGUUUGGGUUUUAUUUUUGGCGUUUGUUCAUUUGUAUGAAUUUCUAGGGGUAAUUUGAUGCUGUUUGGAGUGAAUCUACUAACUAUGUUCAAUUUAAGCACUUCUGGAAUUUUGAUUUCACUUCCGGGCUGUUCGUGAUCAACUGUGACUCCUGCUGAUCUCUCCUCUUCUUAUUGUGAUUUAAUUCUAC
rnacentral:lncRNA from 1 species